UCCCUGUUACCAGGGCAGUCUAGCUAGAAAAAUACAACUAACUACAAGGGUUGCGCUCGUUGAUGGACUUAACCAAACAUCUCACGACACGAGCUGACGACGGCCAUGCAACACCUGUCACUUGGUUUCCGAAGACACACUCUGCUUUCGCAGUGCUUCCAAGGAUGUCAAGCCUGGGUAAGGUUCUUCGCUUACCAUCGAAUUAAACAACACGCUCCACCGCUUGUGCGGGUCCCCGUCAAUUCCUUUAUGUUUUAGUCUUGCGACCGUACUCCACAGGCGGGAUGCUUAACGCGUUAGCUUCGCUACUAGAAGGGUCGAUACUUCUAACAGCUAGCAUCCAUAGUUUACGGCGUGGACUAC
rnacentral:misc_RNA from 1 species